UACGGGGGGGGCAAGCGUUGUUCGGAAUUACUGGGCGUAAAGGGCUCGUAGGCGGCCAACUAAGUCAGACGUGAAAUCCCUCGGCUUAACCGGGGAACUGCGUCUGAUACUGGAUGGCUUGAGUGUGGGAGAGGGAUGCGGAAUUCCAGGUGUAGCGGUGAAAUGCGUAGAUAUCUGGAGGAACACCGGUGGCGAAGGCGGCAUCCUGGACCACGACUGACGCUGAGGCGCGAAAGCUAGGGUAGCAAACGGG
rnacentral:rRNA from 1 species